rnacentral:rRNA from 1 species
UACGUAGGGUGCGAGCGUUAAUCGGAAUUACUGGGCGUAAAGUGUGCGCAGGUGGCCGCGCAAGUCGAGUGUGAAAUCCCCGGGCCUAACUUGGGAAUUGCGCUCGAAACUACGUGGCUCGAGUAUGGCAGAGGAAGGUGGAAUUCCACGUGUAGCGGUGAAAUGCGUAGAGAUGUGGAGGAACACCGAUGGCGAAGGCAGCCUUCUGGGCCAAUACUGACGCUCAUGCACGAAAGCGUGGGGAGCAAACAGG